rnacentral:rRNA from 1 species
GAUGAACGCUGGCGGCGUGCCUAAUACAUGCAAGUCGAGCGAACAGACUAGAACCUUGCUCCUCACUCGUUAGCGGCGGGCGUGUGAGUAACACGUGGAUUACCUCCCUCUCAGACUGGGAUAACUUCGGGAAACCGGCGCUAAUACCGUAUAAUAUAUUUCACCGCAUGGUUCAAUAGUGAAAUAUGCUUUUUCUGUCACUUAUACAUGCUUCCGCUCCGCAUUAGCUAGUUUGUCAGGUAACGGCUUACCAAGGCAACGAUGCGUAGCCGACCUGAGAGGGUGAUAGGCCACACUGGAACUGAGACACGGUCAAGACGCCUAAGGGAGGCAGCAGUAGGGAACCGGACGCAAUGGGCGAAAGCAUGACGGAGCAAGGCCGAGUGAGUGAUGAAGGUGCUCGGAGAGUAAAAAUCGGUUAUGAGGGAAGAACAAAUGUGAAAGUAAAUAUGCACGACGUGACGGUACCUAAUGAGAAAGCAACGGCUAACUAUGUG